CUCAACCCUGGAAUUGAAAGGCUGGCCGUGGUUCUGAAGGCCCAGCCAGGAGAAACUGCUUACACGGAAGCCUUAGGAGUGAAAAUCUUCUCUCCGAGGGCUGACAGGUGCCAUGGCUCUAUUUCCCUCCUGGAUUGCGACCUUAGUGCAGACACCCCAAGGAAGCCCAUGGAGUUUGAAACGGAAUGAAACCUUAACAAAAUUACCUUGUCACUCAUCUGAACUCACUCCCUCAUUUGAAGACAUCCACCCAAUCUGCAAAUUAACUGAAACAUGAUUUAAGUACUUCCCUGGUGGCACAGUGGUAAGAAUCUCCUGCCAAUGCAGGGGACACGGGUUCGAGCCCUGG